CUGAAAGCAGGAAUGUGUACAGUCUUUGACUGCAUGAAAAACUCAGUGCAGCCAAGCACUUCAUCCACAGGCUCAAUCUGUUUCGGCGGUUCCCAGGGAUGAUGUCGUAGAUCUCAAGGAGCAUACGGCAGAUGAUGAGACCAGCACCAUCUCCUUGGGACGAUGAUGGAUGAUGGAUGAUGGAUCUGACCGUGAAGAGGAGAAGGCAGAGGAACAUACUCCAUGUCACAAAAAGACCAAGAACAAGUCUGCUUUAGAGGAGCUGUUUGAGGACGAGGACCGAGAGCUUCAGACAACAACAGCGAGUAGAGCCCUCUCCAUCACAGAACAGGUCCAAAAAGAGAUCCAGCUCUACAAAAGCCUGCAUUCAGUCCCUACAGCAGAGGACCCCGCAGCCUGGUGGUGGGAGAAGAGAGACAACUUUCCCAUCUUAUCUACGCUCUCCACCACAUACUUGUGUGUACAGGCUUCAUCCACCCCAUCGGAGAGGGUUUUUUCUAGUGCAGGAGAUGCUAUUAACCAUGAGAGAUGCCACAUUUUUCCCGAGACAGCAGGCAUGUUGAUAUUUCUCCAGAAUAAUUGUUAAAUGUGCAGAGAUGGGUGGGUGUAUGUGUCUUAGAUGUAGGAGUA